rnacentral:rRNA from 1 species
UGAGGAAUAUUGGUCAAUGGACGCAAGUCUGAACCAGCCAAGUAGCGUGCAGGAUGACGGCCCUAUGGGUUGUAAACUGCUUUUAUAUGGGGAUAAAGUGGGGAACGUGUUCCCUUUUGCAGGUACCAUAUGAAUAAGGACCGGCUAAUUCCGUGCCAGCAGCCGCGGUAAUACGGAAGGUUCGGGCGUUAUCCGGAUUUAUUGGGUUUAAAGGGAGCGUAGGCCGUUUGGUAAGCGUGUUGUGAAAUGUAGGAGCUCAACUUCUAGAUUGCAGCGUGAACUGUCAGACUUGAGUGCGCACAACGUAGGCGGAAUUCAUGGUGUAGCGGUGAAAUGCUUAGAUAUCAUGAAGAACUCCGAUUGCGAAGGCAGCUUACGGGAGCGCAACUGACGCUGAAGCUCGAAGGUGCGGGUAUCGAACAGG